rnacentral:rRNA from 1 species
GACGAACGCUGUCGGCGUGCUUAACACAUGCAAGUCGAACGGAAAGGCCCUGCUUUUGUGGGGUGCUCGAGUGGCGAACGGGUGAGUAACACGUGAGUAACCUGCCCUUGACUUUGGGAUAACUUCAGGAAACUGGGGCUAAUACCGGAUAGGAGCUCCUGCUGCAUGGUGGGGGUUGGAAAGUUUCGGCGGUUGGGGAUGGACUCGCGGCUUAUCAGCUUGUUGGUGGGGUAGUGGCUUACCAAGGCUUUGACGGGUAGCCGGCCUGAGAGGGUGACCGGCCACAUUGGGACUGAGAUACGGCCCAGACUCCUACGGGAGGCAGCAGUGGGGAAUAUUGCACAAUGGGCGGAAGCCUGAUGCAGCAACGCCGCGUGCGGGAUGACGGCCUUCGGGUUGUAAACCGCUUUCGCCUGUGACGAAGCGUGAGUGACGGUAAUGGGUAAAGAAGCACCGGCUAACUACGUGCCAGCAGCCGCGGUGAUACGUAGGGUGCGAGCGUUGUCCGGAUUUAUUGGGCGUAAAGGGCUCGUAGGUGGUUGAUCGCGUCGGAAGUGUAAUCUUGGGGCUUAACCCUGAGCGUGCUUUCGAUACGGGUUGACUUGAGGAAGGUAGGGGAGAAUGGAAUUCCUGGUGGAGCGGUGGAAUGCGCAGAUAUCAGGAGGAACACCAGUGGCGAAGGCGGUUCUCUGGGCCUUUCCUGACGCUGAGGAGCGAAAGCGUGGGGAGCGAACAGGCUUAGAUACCCUGGUAGUCCACGCUGUAAACGGUGGGUACUAGGUGUGGGGUCCAUUCCACGGGUUCCGUGCCGUAGCUAACGCUUUAAGUACCCCGCCUGGGGAGUACGGCCGCAAGGCUAAAACUCAAAGGAAUUGACGGGGCCCCGCACAAGCGGCGGAGCAUGCGGAUUAAUUCGAUGCAACGCGUAGAACCUUACCUGGGUUUGACAUGGAUCGGGAGUGCUCAGAGAUGGGUGUGCCUCUUUUGGGGUCGGUUCACAGGUGGUGCAUGGCUGUCGUCAGCUCGUGUCGUGAGAUGUUGGGUUAAGUCCCGCAACGAGCGCAACCCUUGUUCACUGUUGCCAGCACGUUAUGGUGGGGACUCAGUGGAGACCGCCGGGGUCAACUCGGAGGAAGGUGGGGAUUACGUCAAGUCAUCAUGCCCCUUAUGUCCAGGGCUUCACGCACGCUACAAUGGCUGGUACAGAGAGUGGCGAGCCUGUGAGGGUGAGCGGAUCUCGGAAAGCCGGUCUCAGUUCGGAUUGGGGUCUGCAACUCGACCUCAUGAAGUCGGAGUCGCUAGUAAUCGCAGAUCAGCAACGCUGCGGUGAAUACGUUCCCGGGGCU